UCAACACCCAUGCUUUUUGUCUGUUAUAAGUGAGCACAGUGAUUACUUUGCCCAAAGCUUAAACAAUCUUUUGCCUUUGUCAGUGUCUAAAGAAUGUUUAGACACUGGAUAUACAACAGAUGAACUGGUAAAACAGGAGGCUAUUUUAAAUUGUAAUGACCAGAAAUGGUCAUCUUUUCUUUGUAUUUUGGGCCUAUCUUCUGUUUUAGGUAGAAAAAUUCAUACUUUUAUCCUGAUUCUGGUGAAAGUAGAUAUAAAUUGUUAUUUAAUCGUAUUGUUCAGCCCCGGUUAUUAAGCCAAAGAGGUUUGGAUGCUAUUAAUAUUUUGUUUUGUCAUGAAGGAUCUGUACAACCAGGUGAGACUUUUCAGUCUAAUCAUUUUGUGCCUCUCAUUUUCCAUGCCCACAGGUUGAAGCGAAAAUUGUCUAAUUCCUGUACACAGUCUAAUUCUAGCAGCUCAACAACAGAGAAACGAAAAUUUGUCAAAAUUUUUCCAAAUAUUGCACCAAAAAACAGUUGACAUUUCAAAUUUUUUUUACUUCAACUAAUAGGCCUGCUGCCCAACCAACUUUUAAAAGGAUGCCCAAUGAGAGUUUUUCUUCUGCUGCAGCUCUUGCUCAGACAUUAAAUAAAGCCAAUAGUCUUUUGCUUCACACAUCAUCCCAGGAACUAUUGCCUGGUAUUCCAACUUCUGGUGAUAUGCAACCUGCUGUUUUAACCCAUAAUUUUGAUGUUUCCUUGUAUAGGGAGAAAGUUAAGGGUAUGGAUAAUUCUGAAAUAUGUCAUUUGAUAAAAAAUGUAUAUAAACCAGAUAAAAAGUAUCAUUUUCCUAAAUCUAAUGGCAGAUCAUUUAGGCAUGAUUGGCUAGACCAGCAUGAAUGGCUUUGCUAUUCACCUUCACAAAAUGGUACUCUGCAGCCUAUCGAGAUGAUCAUGGAUGCUGGUAUCAAGAAAGAAAUAGAACAGAA